AUUCCGUAUGAUCAUUGAAGUUAAGCAACGUCGAGCCUGGUCAGUACGUUGAUUAGUGAUCGCUUGGGAAUACCAGGUGCUGUAAU